rnacentral:lncRNA from 1 species
GAAUAUAAUAUCUGGCUUUAAAAGUUUGCGUGGUUCUUCCUAAAAGUGUUGCAUGAAACACAGUAUCUGUAUGUCAGUAUGUGUUAUGUCAAAGAAGUAAUGAAGGCUGGUUUCCGAUGGACUUAGCAGCAUUAGAUGUACUCAACACCCAAGAUUUUUCAAAAGUGGUUUAAAAUGAAUUGUAUUUUAAGAAAAAUUUGGCAAAAGUUAACAUCAUCAGGCCAUAAUUACAGAUGUGCUCCCUUAAGUGUCUAUAAAACCAGUCUGCUCAAUUGCAUGAUGCGAUGGUCUUUGUAAUAAAGAACACCGUCAGCUUGGCUUUAUUAUUGUCUUCCUAUUUUUUAGUUAUUUUUAUUUUCUUAAAGCCUUUCAGACUGAAAACCCCUUUAUAGAAUUGUCAAAGUGAAAAUGAUCUUUAAAUAAGAUAUGUCUUGUUCUUUGGUAUUUUCUCCAUAAAACUGGAAUCAUACAUAAUGAUGAAAAUCAAUUAUCUGUUCACAUGAUUUCCUCCUCUUCCGAAUUUCAAUACUAAGCCUCUUAUUUUCUCAGUGUCUUGUCUCCCUCUUAAGUCAUUUUAUACAUUCCUUAGUUUUCUGAUUCUCGAAUAUGUAUGUCUUUCUUGAGCAUUCAUUUAUCUGCCCCUAGCUUUAUUGUUUUCCAACGUGGCCUGGUUCUUACUUCCAGAGCUUUUCUACAAGGGUUCUCUACUUUCUCAUUUUCUUUAUGUUGAUGAAAAUCCAUGUGGCUGCUUUUAUGUAUUUAAUUACUGGUCCUUUCGAUCUUAUCCCUUCUAUUUCUUACCCCUUCACAUCUAAUGUCAGCAUGUUUUUACCCGUAACUUGAAUGUGGCUAUCGAAGCUAACUAAUCUGCCUGACCAUUUGACCACCCCAAACCUCUAGAUUGGUUUUUCUCCCAUCAUCGACCCCAAACCAUACCUGGUUUGACAGACUAAAGUCCCCCUGUUGAAGGAAGCUAUGCUUCUAUAUUUUCCUAACUUAAAAUCUCAUUAAGCAUAAAGAAAAUACUUGAAAAUAUUUUUGAUAACUGCAUGUCUAGAUUGACCUCCCUAAUCUUCAGAUUUUGUCUUCUCUUUCCUCUGAAGAGUUACAUUCAUUUGGAAAAACCAUAAUCUUCUCCAGACCAUGCCCUCCAGUAACUCCAUUUGGAAAUGAACCAUGUGGACCUCUCUCACUCCUCUUUAAUCCUCUCACACACUGUUCCCAUCAACAAAUACUUGCUCAAUUUUUAUUCAGGUUCUCCUCCUUCACCCUGGGAAUGUAAUUGGGAAGAAAGAAUCUGUUCUGUGUUGCCUUUUUACUUGGAGAAUUUAUUUCUUUUCCUAAAGUGGAGCCUUAUCCCAGUUCACACAUUUCUCUAUCCCCCUCCCAAACACUUUCAGGCAGCUUUUCCAUGUGUUGGGGCUGCAGCCCAAACCAGUAUCACCAUCCAUCUGUGAUUUCAAAACUCUAGCCACCACCACUGAAGAACCCCAAGUGCUACAAAUGCUGUAGCUUGUCUCUUGUCUUUUCCAUGGAUGUUAGUACAUGCAUGUUUUCUCUCUCCAGUUAGAUUGUAAAUCCCUUUAGGACAAGCACUGAGUCUGUUUCUUCCAUUUUCAAACCAAAUGCCACAUCUGAUGGGUAAUAAUCAUUUUAGAGAGUGGUCACCAGCACUAAAAAUAAAUAAUUUUUAAGCAAAGAGGAAAUAUCCUAGUGAAUUUCUCAUCCUCAGAGUGAGAAUUGUUUGGGGAAAUGUCUCAGUGUAUGUGUGUACUGCACUACAGUGUAAGGAAACUAAAUACCUGCUUGGUAUUUGGUCAUUUAAAUUUUUGAAAGAGUUAAGGAAAGAUUUGGGAGAAGUCUGCCUGUGAAAUUAUAAGGAUUUUCUUGUGUCUCUUGAUCUUUGGCCCAUCAGCUUAAGCGUGGGGCCUAAGCAUUCCCUAAGGUCACUGGCUUCAUGAGCCUGGUUGAGCAGCCCCUUCCCUUGUUUAGAACAUUUGGAUGAACCACAGACUCCCUGAGAGAAUUUAUAUACUGAUGUAAGCCUCAGAAUGAACACACCCAUAUAGUUUACUAUGGGUUUUCAGUCACCCGAAUGGGAAAUUAAUUAUUAUUGACGUAAAUGGCUAAAUUCCACACCCUUCCAUUUAUUUUAGCAAAUGUUCAUGGAGUGCCUCUUCUGUGCCAGCAUUGUAUGCAUUGAAGAUACAGAGUUGAAUCAGACAUAGAUUACCCCUUUGAAGAAGACCUUAUCAGGAGUUAGCAACUACAGCCCAUGGACCAAAUCUGGCUCAUGGCCUGUUUGUGUAAAUAAAUUGUAUUAGAACUCAGCCAGGCUCAUUCAUCCUUAUUGUCUCCAGCUGCUUUUGUGCAGCCACACAGAGCUGAGGAGUUGCACCAAAGACCAUAUAUGGCCCACAAUGCAUAAAUAUUUACUGAAAACUGCCUCUGAAAAAAACCUUGCCAAUCUCUGACUUUGUAAAAUGUCACAAUUUGUUUAAAAUAAUAUAUUUUUCUAUGAGAUUUCCAUAUACAAAAGUGACAGAUAUACUGAGAGCAAUGUAAUAUUUUCCUUCUUUUAUGAUGAAACAACAUAGAUCAUUGGUCUGAUGCUGCAGCCUUAAGAGGAUUCAAGAAGUGGCUCUUUUUGAAAAUUUGAUGAGAGAAAAACACUAUGAUCUCAAUGAAAUGACAUUUCAUGUUUUUCAGUCUCACACAUCCAUAAUCACCCAAGCCCAGAACUUGGCUGUUUGAUUCAAAGUCCCAAUACUCUCAGAAAAAAUUACAGAACUAAAUCAGCUGAAUAUGAGAUCAGGGAUCGCCAACUGCCUGCCCAUGAGCUGGGUGGGGCUCAUCAUCAUUGUACGCUUGGCUCUAAAAUUUUGAGCAACAUUCAUUUGAAAAAUUAAUUUCAUGUUAAAAUCUAGGUCUCCCAAUUCUCUUGAGAAAUCACAUCUGGUGGCCAGCGGCCUCCAGUCCUGCAUGACGACAGCCCACUGGAGCUGAAAGGCAGCUUCCGUCCUUGGACAAGGCAUACGUGCUCCAGAUUUCCCCACUCUCUCCUGCUUCCAAACAGUCUCCACUCAAGAUGAAGAGUCUGUUGCCGUUUAUAACUAGCUUACAGUCAUUUCCCUCAGUAAAGAAAUUUCUCUGUAACUCUCCCCUUAAAAUCGUUGGAACAAGAUUAACUGAGAAUACGAUGUGUUCAAAAAAAAAGUUGUCUUACAUUUUUAAUAUGCAGUCAAAAGCUCUGCUACUUGACAGACUUAGGUUCUCUUCCUGAAGCAGUGUGGAAAUGGCAAUUUAAGACUAAUAUCUUACAUCCAUCACCAAACAGAGCCAAAACGUGCCUUAAAGCAACAAUUUCUAAAGAAGUAUGAGCUUGCCCCAGCUGCAUUUAAGAUAAACUAUUACAGUUUAGAGAGAAAAUAUUCGAAUGUAAAUAUUUUUACAUUUUUGAUCUUUUAAAUUUGUAUUUUAUAUAUUUUGUAAGUUUAUAAUAUAGUUAUAAAGCAGUAUACAUAUGUAUAUACACAUAUAUAUGUGUAUGUAUAUACACACACAUCUGGACAGAUAUUCAUAUUUAUUUCAGUGACUGAGGUUUUGAUCUUUUAAAUUUAUAUUUUAUGUAUUCUGUGCAUUAUAGUUAUAAAGCAGUAAUAUAUAUAUGCAUAUAUAUGUACACACACAACACAUCUGGAUAGAUAUUCAAAUUUAUUUCCGUGAUUGAGGCAUGUGAUAAACUAGUCUGGAGACUUUAGUCUUGGGAACCCAGAAGGAAUCCAAGACAUAUCACAUCCAGACCUUCAUUUUACAAAUAAAGUCUGUGAAGUCCCAGGAGGUGGCAUGAUCUCGUCAGAGGCACCAGCAUGUAAGCAAGCGACAGAGGCCAGCUCUUUCCUAACACCCUUUCCUACCCUCUUGCUGCUACUCCACACUGCCUGCUUUCUUAACCGAGGCCUGCUUGAGAAAAUGAGACCAACGUGGUGAUAAAUAACUCCCCUGAAACUGCUGGGCAACUUGUAGGAAACUGUCAGGUUUCUUCCUCCAGCAUAACACAAAUUUCAACCAGUGGUACCUAGAAUAGUUUCUUUUUUUGUGUGAAAAUUGGCAUGUGAUCAAUUUCUCCACUGCCAGCAGAGGACGCCUGCUGGUGCGACACACUCAUUGGCCAGGUCUCAUUGGCCAGCCUCUGCCUUCCUUUCCUGUGGAAAUAAAAUAUAAGGGCAGGAGAAAGGACAUAUUUGGUAAUGUUACGCUCCUCAGCUUCCUGCUCAGGGCUGUCUCAGCUGCAAAAUGUCAAGGGAAAAAAUAUUCCUCCAACUUGGAAUGAAUUCCAGACAGACCCUGAUGCCUGCAAAUUUGUCAGAGGGAGCCAAGUCCAGAAAGGCAGAACAUGAACAAGGUUCAUUAUUCCACUUCAAGAGACGCUCAAAUAAUCAGACACUCUGGUAUUUAUGAUUUUCCCCAUUUCAGAUGGUCUUAGUUCACAACGUUCUCCUCCCUUUACCGCUGAUGCUGAGCUUCCUUUUAAAUUAAACCUCAACAGUUAUAAAAAGACUCUCACAUUACUUGUAAGCCACAAGCACUACUGGGAGACACUGUUCCUACUGGGCUGUUUCGGGCUGGGGAAGGGCAGCACUUUCUGAAAAUUAGUCUGGGGAGGGCAGGCCAGGAAGUCAGACUCACUUCACCUUGACCACGCCACAGUUCUCAUCUGCUUAUGACAUCCCUGCCAAGACCUCUUGCCACUCACAGCAUUUGAUAUGAUGCUUUUUU